UUAACAGAAAAGUUAAGACACAGAAGAUAUUUAUAUUACAUAAAUCUCACAAAGGACUAAUAACCAGAAUAUGCAAAGAAUUCAUACAAAUCAAUAAGAAAAAGACAUACAACCCAAUCCAAAAAUGGGCAAAAGACUUGAACAGACACUUCGUAAAAGAGAUUUCCAAAUGGCCAAUGAACACAUGAAAAGAUGCUCAAUUUCAUUACUCACCAGGGAAAUGCAAAUUAAUACCACAAUGAGAUACCACUACACACCACCAGAAUGGCUAAAAUGAAAAAGACAAAUAAGGUCAAGUGUUGGCUAGAACACAGAGCAAUCAGGAUUCUAAUACAUUGGAAGUAGGAAUGUAAAUUGGUUUACACAUUUUGGGAAACUUGUGAUGUCUAUUCAAGUUGAUCAUACACAUACCUUAUGAUUCAAUAAUUCCAUUUCUAAGUAUAGAUAGAUAGGAAUAUGUAUAUAUAGUCCCAAAUAGACAUGUACAAGAAUUUUCACAGCAGCACUUUUUAUAACAGCCUCAAACUGCAAAUAACCCAAAUGCCAUCAACAACUGAAUAAGUAGCAGUAUACUCACAUAAUGGAAUACUAUAAUGAAAAUAAACAAAGUUUAACAACAUGUAACAAUAUGGAUGAAUCUCACUGGCACAAUGUUGAACAGCUCAACAUAAAAAAGCUCAUACUGUAAUGAUUCUAUUUACAUGAAGUUCAAAAUGGGUAACACUAAUCUAUGGUAUUAACAAUGAGAUUGGUUACCUGGGGUGGGGAGAAGGGCUAGCUAUUAGAAGGGAGGCAUGAAAGAGAUUUUGGGGUUCUGGCAAUACUGUGUUUCCUCAUCUAGGUGCUGGUAUCACAUGGUGUGUUCACUUCGAAAAUGCAGACUUGCACACGUAGAAUUUGCGUACAUGUUUAUAUUAUUUUCAGUAAGACUUAUUAAUAUAAAACAAAAACAAAACCUUUGGGUUUGUGACUCCUGUAGACAAGUGGCUGGGAAGAUAACAAAGGAUAACAGAUUAGGCUAUGCCAGGAUCAGCCAAGAUGCAGGCCAGUUCUAUACUUCAGGCAGCUUGCCCAAUCUCUAGGGCAGAAGACUAGUCUAGUAUCUAAGGCAACAGCACAUGGCAGAAAAGGGGAGGGUUUCGCUUUCUUCAUCUACUCUUUCUCCAUACUUCAUUCCAGGAGAUUUUCUGUAUAAUUCUAAGGAGUAAGCUGAAAGCUAAAAAGCAAAAGGGAGCUUCAUAAAUGAGAAUAUGCACAAUAUUUCAAGUAUAUUGAAUGAUCUAGAAAAUUUUCAAAAGGUAGGGAUAAUCAGAGUCAAAUAAGGAGAAUGCAGGUUGUUCACCAAAUUAGUUCAGGGUUAAAAGUUUCAUUUGAUUAUGAGUUCAAUGGGGGUAGAAAAUUAUUUGACAGCAGUCUUUUGGGCUGCUUUUAGAUACCCUAAGGAGAAAACAGAGUACAACUUCGGGGAGGGGUGACUGCUCAAUUUCUCACCAUAGCCUUUUUGUCAUAUAGCUUGUUGCUAUGGAGAAGGCCGUGAAGGCAGCAACUAAAGGAAAUAAAGGAUCUGGCAGGAGUAAGCACAGGGAUAGUAGAUUAAACAAAAAUUUCUUGAGCAAUUAGUGAGUAGCAGGGCCUAUAAAUGACAUACUUUUCUUGUUUUUCCUAACCCCUACCCCUUUGAAAGUACAUGGGCUUGGUUUACCACUAUAAUUUAAUUGAAAUACAGAGAAGCCUGAAUGGGCCUAACAAAGCUUAAGCCUGGCAGACAAAACACAAGGCCACUUAGCAAUGCUGCCUAAUGCCAGGAGGAAUCAGCUACCUACCCACCCUAUCCUGGUGAAAUUAUCUCCAGCUGCCUAAAUUAUAAAGUUGAUGCCCUGUGAUUUCUUUGUUCUGUAAAGCCUGAGGGAGAUGGAAUAAUGAGGUAUCAGAAGAGGUGGAGAACAGCCCCUUGUUUCAGAGUAGUCAGAGAGAGAGAGAGCGAGUUAAAGAGAGAAAUGGAGUUAGUUCUCACCGGUAUCAUUAAGAGGCAGCAGCAGCCUCAGUAGCAAUAGCUUGGGAGCAAAGCUCUGCUUGAACUAGUCUGAAACUACUGCUGUGGGAGAAAAGGCUAGUUGCCAACUUUGUUAAUAGCUUCUGCCUAUCAUUGUUACAGCAGCUUUAUCAAAUAGGGCAGGGCCAGGACCUGUUUUUAGCAGUGUAAGCACUAAGACCAGAGGGCUCAACAUCUUCCAGCAGAUUUCAUCACAACCAAUGACUAACAAAGACAAGUCCCUCUUCUAUUCCACAUAAAUGAUUACAGAGUUGUAAAUAUCAGAGCUAGAAGGAUCAUAGAGAUCAUGUAGUCCAACCUCCUCAUUUUACAAAUAAGGAAAUUAAGGCCCAGAUAGUCAAACGACCUUAUUAACAGAGCAAGAAAACACCAAGGCUCUCAAAUAGGACUUUUUCCCCUUUGAAUCACACUUCAAAGCUAAGUUAGUUAGGGCUAAUGAUUAAUCCCAGGCAAUACCAGUAAGAUAUUUAUUGCCUAGGUAUCACUCAACUAAAUUCCUAAGUAUCAGGAUGAUUUUGAUAACAAAAUAGGUCUGGGUUUUGUUACUGAAAUAUAAAAAGAAUCUCAUUUGCAAACAACCUUACCUAUCUGGCAAGCUCACAGCCUAGUCACCUAUAUAUACUGCCUGACUGUGCUUUGCUUGGGGGAGGGAGGAGGUGUGUGAGCAUGCACAAAGGGAGACUCUCUUUCUCCCCUGGAGAUUAGUCUAUUUUGCCAUUUGCAAAAUGAAACUCAAAAAAGCCGGUGACUGAAAUUUUUCCCAAGGUCUUCAGGAUUUAAAUGUAUGACAGUGGACAUAUAACACAAUCCACAAAGGUAUAUAAACACGUCACUGCCCUAAAGUAUCCUCUGGGAGUAAGCUGCUAGGUGGGAAUGUGUUGGCUGUUGUUUUUGGUGGGGGAGGGGUGGGAGAAAGUAGGUACUGAUUUCCCUAAUGUUUCCUUUGUGUGGCUGCUGUUGCCAUGUGGUGGUCUGUUGCUAUGAAGAUUUGUGGUGUCAGACAAUGGCUGCUAGGCUCUUUAUGACUGUGCUAUUGGUAGAGCUAUUUCUUCGGGAUUCAAGCUAGUAUGCAACUGGCUAAACAGUGGAGAAAGCUUGGUUGUUACUGUGCCCCAUCUCUCCUCUAGGGUAGCCAACAAGAUGUAAGCAGAAGUCUUAUGGUGUGGCUUCUGGGAAACCUCUCCAAAGGAAUUUCUGAUUAAAUGAAUACAAGAAGGAAGAGAGACUGGCACAAAAUAGAGAGAAUAACCAGUUAUAAAGAGAAAUGAGAUUUAUGACCAAGGCAAGAGAGGAGAGUUUCAAGAAUAAAGAAAUAAGAGAGCUAAUAGAAGUCUAGGAAGGACUGAGAGAAGACCUCUGGAAAACUGAUCUUCAGAGAAUGAUCUUUGCAGGAAAUCUCUGUUACCUGAAGAUGAAAAGGAAUGUGAACCAACUCUGAUCCCAAUUCAGACCUUCGCCAACUGACAGUUCAGGUGAAGGCCCUCUGGGGUGACCAGAAAGCAAAGAAAAGAUGAGUAUAUUAUUGCUGAACAGUUCUCUUUCAGAAAAAGAGAAUAAAAUAAAGAAAGAGACCUAAGCCUUGAAAUACACUGAUGAGUGAUGAUAGAGACCCAAGUACUUCCUCUGAAGCUGACUGUAUGUUUACCAUAGAAGGCUGAUAAUCCCUCCUAUUCCUGUAUGGUUACAAGUUGCCAGCACUACAGGAAAGAGAAGCCUGGAAGUACAUUAUGGGAAAAGAAGUAGAUAGGUCUUCAGUGUAAAAUCUGAAGGGGUCAUCAAACUCCUGCCUACUCCUUUCUCUCCAAGAAUAUGCUGUGGGGAAGAAAAGAUGAAGAUGCGGGAAGAUGGGAGAAAAGAAUCCUAACAUAAGAUAUAGAAGAUACACAACGGGCUAACAUCAUAAUCCAGCUAGUAAUAAAACUCUUGGCCAGGACACAAGGAAGCAGUUCCCAAUAUGCCAACUAAGGUAGCUACCUUCUUGGUGUUCCUCAGUGACCCAUACUGAGCCCCUUUCAUUCAAUACAGACACAUUCUUCCUGGGUAAGUGCACUCACUUCUAUGGCAUCAAUUACCAUUUAUGUGUUCACAUUAAUAAACUCUUAAAUCUUUAGAUUUCCAGUUCUCUCUCUCACACAUCCAGUCCUCAAGAGACAUUUCUACUUGGUUGUUCAUUCAUUCAACUCCCUCUUCCAAAUUAACUACCAUUUAUCCUUCAGAUAUUUACUCAAACUUCUUCACGGAUAUUUUCCCUGA
rnacentral:lncRNA from 1 species